rnacentral:sRNA from 1 species
GUGCCGGGGGAGGAGAGGCGGCGGGCAGGUGGGCGUGAAACUAUUCCUCUCCCCCCAUAAGAGCGGAGCGAGACGGUGAGCGUCCUGACCACCCUGGAGCGUAGGUUCAACCUGCAGAGCGCUGACGUGGGUGUGAUCGCUAGCAGCUUCGAGAUCGGGAACCUGGCGCUCAUUCUCUUCGUGAGCUACUUCGGGGCACGCGGGCACCGGCCGCGCCUGAUCGGCUGCGGCGGGAUCGUCAUGGCGCUGGGCGCGCUGCUGUCGGCGCUGCCCGAGUUCCUGACCCACCAGUACAAGUACGAGGCGGGCGAGAUCCGCUGGGGCGCCGAGGGCCGCGACGUCUGCGCAGCCAACGGCUCGGGCGGCGACGAGGGGCCCGACCCCGACCUCAUCUGCCGCAACCGGACGGCUACCAACAUGAUGUACUUGCUGCUCAUUGGGGCCCAGGUGCUCCUGGGCAUCGGUGCUACCCCUGUGCAGCCCCUGGGCGUCUCCUACAUCGACGACCACGUGCGGAGAAAGGACUCCUCUCUCUAUAUAGGAAUCCUGUUCACGAUGCUGGUAUUCGGACCAGCCUGCGGGUUUAUCCUGGGCUCUUUCUGUACCAAAAUCUACGUGGAUGCGGUCUUCAUUGACACAAGUAACCUGGACAUCACUCCGGACGACCCCCGCUGGAUCGGAGCCUGGUGGGGUGGCUUUCUGCUCUGCGGUGCCUUACUCUUCUUCUCUUCCCUCUUGAUGUUUGGGUUUCCACAGUCCCUGCCCCCGCACUCAGACCCCGCCAUGGAAAGCGAGCAGGCCAUGCUCUCCGAAAGAGAAUACGAGAGACCCAAGCCCAGCAACGGGGUCCUGAGGCACCCCCUGGAGCCAGACAGCAGUGCCUCCUGUUUCCAGCAGCUGAGAGUGAUCCCGAAGGUCACCAAGCACCUGCUCUCAAACCCUGUGUUCACCUGCAUCAUCCUGGCCGCCUGCAUGGAGAUUGCAGUGGUGGCUGGCUUUGCUGCCUUUUUGGGGAAGUACCUGGAGCAGCAGUUUAACCUCACCACCUCUUCUGCCAACCAGCUGCUUGGGAUGACUGCGAUCCCGUGUGCUUGUCUGGGUAUCUUCCUGGGAGGUCUUUUGGUGAAGAAGCUCAGCCUGUCUGCCCUGGGGGCCAUUCGGAUGGCUAUGCUCGUCAACCUGGUGUCCACUGCUUGCUACGUCUCCUUCCUCUUCCUGGGCUGCGACACUGGCCCUGUGGCUGGGGUUACUGUUCCCUAUGGAAACAGCACAGCACCUGGCUCAGCCCUGGACCCCUACUCGCCCUGCAAUAAUAACUGUGAAUGCCAAACCGAUUCCUUCACUCCAGUGUGUGGGGCAGAUGGCAUCACCUACCUGUCUGCCUGCUUUGCUGGCUGCAACAGCACGAAUCUCACGGGCUGUGCGUGCCUCACCACCGUCCCUGCUGAGAACGCAACCGUGGUUCCUGGAAAAUGCCCCAGUCCUGGGUGCCAAGAGGCCUUCCUCACCUUCCUCUGUGUGAUGUGUAUCUGCAGCCUGAUCGGUGCCAUGGCACAGACACCCUCAGUCAUCAUCCUCAUCAGGACAGUCAGCCCUGAACUCAAGUCUUACGCUUUGGGAGUUCUUUUUCUCCUCCUUCGUUUGUUGGGACCCAGUAAGAUUAACCACCAUUAUUGUUCAUGUGAAGGCCGGCAAAGACAUCAGAUCCUGUGACAUCGUCAACUUUUUUGCUAGCCUAGCAAGGGCAAUGGGGAUACAAUGGGGAUAUCACAGGUGUCUUGGCUACUCCUUUUCUCUCCGGGCUGUGGGCAAACUCUCUGCUCCUGAGUUGGUCUAGAAUCUUGUUCCUG